CAGCCAGGAGCGUGCCCUGGGCACAGGGAUGGCCCUCUGGGCACAGGAGGGACACGGCAGCCGCAGGGCUGUUUGCAAACACAUUUCCAAAUACAGCAUCACCUGUGGGGCCUGGCAGGGCUGGAGGGCUUGGCUGUGACCGCCCUGCAGCCAGGCAGAGCCCAGCUCCUCGAGAAGUUGUGAGGCAGAGGGAGAACAGAUCCAAAGAGCAUCUGAGCCACGGGCAGGAUGAACAGCUGAGCUUGGAAAACAGGGGAGAAAAGAGAGCUGAGCUCCAGGGAUGGAAGCAGCUGGUGAAUAUUGACAGCACCAACCAGCAGUGGUGAAGCCGCAGUCCAAAUCCACUUGUGGAGUUGGUUCUUGUUCAUUUAUUUUCUUCUUUUUUAUUUUUUGAUCACAGUUAAAUCCCACAGAGGCAGUCUGGGAGAGCUGGGGGUGUUCAGCCUGUGGCACUGUGUUGAGUGCUGGAAUGUCACUGCAGGCCCCCAGCAGGGUAAUAAUUAGCAUUGACUCCAUGAUUCACAGAAGGCUGAUCAAUCUCUUUAUUAUUCUACACUUAUUAAGAACCCACUGCUUUUAUAACAGUUAUGGUACAGGUGGACCCAAUUGGUCCUCCAGCCCAAACACCAUCACCAUUGGCUAAUUAAGAAACCACCCUGGGGUAAACAAAUCUCCACAACACAUUCCACGUGCUCACAACAGCAGGUGCAGCAAGCUAAAUAAGGAUUGUUUCUCACUCUUUUCUCUGGUCUCCUCACAGCCUUCCCCAGCAGGUGACACUGGUGUGCAGAGUGCCAGGAGGGGGAAAAGGAACCUCCGUGUCAGAGCUGCUCUCCAGGUUCUUGUAGGGGCUUGUAGUUCUUGUAGAGCCCCUUCAGCUCUGCAGAGCAAGGAGAGACCCUCCAAGGGCACCUGUGCUGUGUUCCCAUGUGGGUAAUGGAAGAAUUGGCAAAUCGUGCCCAGGAAAAUGUAACCAGGGAUCUUGGGAGCAGAGAGGAGCAGGUAAGAGGUGCUUGAAGUCUGAUUUUAAAGGUGGUCUUGGUCCCACACGAAGGGAGCCACAAGAAAUGGAACAAUAUCAGCCUCAGGUCCUGGUCUGUCAGGAGUUCAGGGGCUGGUGUCACUCCCAUGGGCACCCCCAUGCUGGUUUGGGGGACUGGGGUGACCUGGGGUGGGGGGCAGCAGCUGUGACCCCCCAUCCUUGGGGCUGGGCUCCUCAGAGCCGGCCCACGGGCACCCAGAGCUGCAGGCUGCCUGAUCCCAGUGGUUUUGCUCCCCUUUUGGCUCCCCAGAGCAGGAUGCUGCUGGCAGUGACCCGGCUGUGCUGCGGGCCCCGAGUGCCUCCUGCCAGCAGCACCUCCCCAAGUGACCCAGGGCGGGGCUGAGGCACC